AACGAGCGCUGGCGGCAGGCUUAACACAUGCAAGUCGAGCGGAUCCUUCGGGAUUAGCGGCGGACGGGUGAGUAACGCGUGGGAAUAUGCCCUUCUCUACGGAAUAGCCUCGGGAAACUGGGAGUAAUACCGUAUACGCCCUACGGGGGAAAGAUUUAUCGGAGAAGGAUUAGCCCGCGUUGGAUUAGGUAGUUGGUGGGGUAAUGGCCUACCAAGCCUACGAUCCAUAGCUGGUUUGAGAGGAUGAUCAGCCACACUGGGACUGAGACACGGCCCAGACUCCUACGGGAGGCAGCAGUGGGGAAUCUUAGACAAUGGGGGAAACCCUGAUCUAGCCAUGCCGCGUGAGUGAUGAAGGCCUUAGGGUUGUAAAGCUCUUUCAGCUGGGAAGAUAAUGACGGUACCAGCAGAAGAAGCCCCGGCUAACUCCGUGCCAGCAGCCGCCGUAACAC
rnacentral:rRNA from 1 species